AGCAGCCGCGGUAAUUCCAGCUCCAAUAGCGUAUAUUAAAGUUGUUGCAGUUAAAAAGCUCGUAGUUGAAUUUCGGGAUUGGCGCAUCGGUCGUGCCUUACGGGGUAUGAACUGGUGCAGUCAAUUUCUCACCUUCUGGAGAACCGCGAUGUCCUUAAUUGGGUGCCGCGGGGAACCAGGACCUUUACUUUGAAAAAAUUAGAGUGUUUAAAGCAGGCAUUUUUGCUUGAAUACAUUAGCAUGGAAUAAUAAAAUAGGACGGCAUGGUUCUAUUUUGUUGGUUUCUAGGACCACCGUAAUGAUUAAUAGGGAUAGUUGGGGGCAUUAGUAUUCAAUUGUCAGAGGUGAAAUUCUUGGAUUAUUGAAGACUAACUACUGCGAAAGCAUUUGCCAAGGAUGUUUUCAUUAAUCAAGAACGAAAGUUAGGGGAUCGAAGACGAUCAGAUACCGUCGUAGUCUUAACCAUAAACUAUGCCGACUAGGAAUCAGACGAUGUUAAUUUUUUAAUGACUCGUUUGGC
rnacentral:rRNA from 1 species